rnacentral:rRNA from 1 species
AUUGAACGCUGGCGGCAGGCCUAACACAUGCAAGUCGAACGAGUGGCGGACGGGUGAGUAAUGUCUGGGAAACUGCCUGAUGGAGGGGGAUAACUACUGGAAACGGUAGCUAAUACCGCAUACCAUCGGAUGUGCCCAGGUGGGCGUAGCUUGGGGGUGGGGUAACGGCUCACAAAGGCGACGAUCCCUAGCUGGUCUGAGAGGAUGACCAGACACACUGGAACGGAGACACGGGCCAGACUCCUACGGGAGGCAGCAGUGGGGAAUAUUGGACAAUGGGCGCAAGCCGGAUGCAGCCAUGCCGCGUGUAUGAAGAAGGCCUUCGGGUUGUAAAGUACGUUAAGCGGGGAGGCGUUACCCGCAGAAGAAGCACCGGCUAACUCCGUGCCAGCAGCCGCGGUAAUUC